GCCGGUGUAGCUCAGUAGGUAGAGCAACUGACUUGUAAUCAGUAGGUCGCGGGUUCGAUUCCUGUUGCCGGCACCA
rnacentral:tRNA from 2 species